UGUGGCACUCUCUUCUGUGCUCAGUAACAAGGGGUGACACUCCCCUGGGGCCCUGCAAUCCCUAACCAGUCACCACAGAUCAACUCAGAAACGUAGAUGAGAUGGGCCUUCUGUGUGGACUUCCAAGGAUUUUGUCACCCAGAAAGCCCAGAUUGGGGCUACAAGGUACCAUUUGAAUUGCAAGAGCAUGACUUGAAGUCAUGAAGAGAGUGCUUGGUUUUGUUUUCCUCUUGGUAAAGCCUUUCAUUAGUGAAAUGAGAAAUGUCACUUCAUGCACCAUUGUAAAACUUUUGCCUCUGAAGACUGUAAAAAGCUAUGUGGAAAGUGUUCUUUUUCCACUGCCUGCUUUACUCCUCUUUUUGAGUGGAAGAACCACAAUGCUUGACCUGUGUUUCUUCUUGAAGAGAGAAGUAAGAAGGAGCUCAGUUUCCUAUUGGAUUUGGAAAACAGAUGACAAUCUCAGGAUCUUCAUGAGUUGUGAGCUGGUCUUGAUACUGAGGCAGGGCUGGUCUUCUGUAACAUGGAUAUCCAAGGAAAGACUGGCACCUACAUUUUUACCCCCCUGCUUGAUUUGAUUUCCUGAGCUUCUUAGGACUCAUAGUGGUUCAUAGUAUAGAUCCCAUCUAUUCCAUCCCCUCUUCCUCUGCUCCCCUGGCAGAUUUUCUCAGGUUUUAAGUUCAGAACCCCCUCCCAGGUUUUCACCACAAGUAGCAGGUUCUGGUACUGCUGCUUUAUCAAGUGCUUAGCUGUUGGCAGUAGCUGGCUAGGAGACAAGUUCAAUGAGUUAACUUCUCUGUGCUCUAAACAGUGGUAUCAGCUCAACGUGACUUUUGUAUUUUCCCCGUGGACCAAUCAGCUAAUGUGCAGCAGCACAAUAUGUAUCUUCAAAAAGUGAGGACAUUAAAUAGUUCACUUGGACAGCUUAUAAGCAAUAUUUAACCCAGAGUAGUUUUGAUAAAACUGCUCAGCUUUGGGAUUGUGAUUGUAGCUAUAUGAAUGCUUAAAAUUAUAAUUAAAGAUUUUGAAGCAGUUUUGAGUUCACUGAGCCCUCCCUCUUUUGAUUCUCUUGAUUAACCAGUGAUUUACACAUAUAUAAUGACUUUAACUGACUUAGGGGGUAAUUUAUGUCACAAUGUGCAUGAUAUAUGGAUCUAAAUAGACUAAAGAGAGGGGAAAAGGAACCAUCUGUUCUCUAGAAAAUUGUCUGCUGUCAGAGGGGCUCAAGAACUGUUUGAAAAAUGUGUUUAGAAAGCCAUUAGUAAAUUUCCUAAUUUUUUUGUGCUUUCUGGAUGGCAUUCUCAUUGGGUACAUAUUGCCCAGAAAAAAAGGGUAGGAACUCGAAUUUUUUAACUUCAGCUAUGUAAGUUUUAUUAGAUCUUUCAAAAUAUCUAUUACUUUCAUUAAUGUAUAUAGUGAAUUUUGUCCUAAUCUUCCCAGUGCUCAUGCAAUAUUGUUUAUGCAGCUACAGGAUAGAUAUGGAGAUCCCAACACCCCAAGGUCCAAGUUCAAACAUGAAAAUGAGAGUGACAUUUCUUGGGAGCAGCAGGGUUAUAUUUAGGACAAGUGUUUAAAAGC
ensembl:lncRNA